rnacentral:tRNA from 1 species
GCCCCCGUAGCCCAACUGGCAGAGGCAGGCGACUUAAAAUCGUCCCAGUACGGGUUCGAAUCCCGUCGGGGGCA